rnacentral:misc_RNA from 1 species
AGCGAUCUGAAAGCUUUUGAGCGGUCUCAAAGGCGAGAAGAUCGGGAUCAGAAAGCCCUACUUUCUCUAAACUGCCUUCUUGGUUAUCCUUUUUCUUCUCUAAUCAAUCAUUUUCUCCACUGCUACCUCCUGCUCAACAUCUAUUGCAUUUCUUCAUGCCCAACUCUUUGGAAUUCGCAGAUUUUACUUCCCAAGGACAACGCUGCACUCAAACAAUAGCCCAAUAGAUAGCCUGAGGCAGAGAAAGAGUGGUUUUGCCUAGCCC